rnacentral:rRNA from 1 species
AUGGAGAUAGAGAUGGAGUCGUCGAGUGUCGAGUCUUGUGAGCCGGGGGAAAGAUCUGUGGCGGGGAAGAUAUCUAAGAUGGGGGGAACAGGGAAUGCGGUGGUGGCGAUGGCGACGACGGGGAAGAAGACAUAUGAGCAGGCGUUUCUGGCGACGACGGGGAAGAAGAUAUCGUUGCAGGCGUUGCUGGGGACGAUGGGGAAGAAGACAUCUAAGCAGGAGUUGCUGGCGACGACGGGUAACACAUCUAAGCAGGAGUUGCUGCCGACGGGGAAGACUGCGGGAUCUGAAGUGCGGAAGGCGGCGGUGUUGUUGAUGCAGGUUGCGAGCUUGCGUGGAGGGGCGGGUGAUGUGAGAGAGACGAGGGAGCGCCUGAUUGGCCAGUCUCUGGAGGCUCUGUCGAAUGCAGAAGUGUUGGCCUCACUGGAAGAGGAGGAACCAAGGAGAACGAUAUCUCAGGAAGCCAAAACUGAUCUAAUUGCCUACCAAGCCUGUGAUCAGGAGGAGGCGGCGCCGGAGCUCGUGGUGCAGAUUAUGUCGGAUGAUGACGAUGACUAUGUUAAGUGUGAAGCAGCAGCUUCUGAAGAGGCAUGUGAUCCAGCUUUUAUUCUCGAGAAUGACACAAUGACGACAAUGAUUGUAGCGGACCCCGCUAGGGGGGAAAUUGGCCUGGCUGAGGAGGUGGAUGUGGCGGCUAAAAGUGGACAGCAGAAGAAGAGAGUUAAUCUGUCGACUGAAGAAUUUUCGGCGCUACUGGAGGAGGAGGAAGCAGGGAGAAAGAUGGCUCACAAAGGCAGCACUGAUCCAAAUGCCUACCAAGCCUCUGCUCAAGUGGAUGAUGAUUGGUCUGAUAAGGAGGAGCGGCAUGAGGCGAUGGAGCUCCUGAAGCAGAAUAUGGCGGAUGACGAUGAUGAGUCUGCCAAGUUUGAAGCAGCGGCGCCUGAAGAGGCUACUGGGGAUGAGAUAAGGAUCUCUGAGGAAGCGGCCGAGGUAGCUGCUGAGGAGGAGAUGAUGAUGAUGGGAUUUGGGGGGCUGGCCGAGGAGGCGGCUGAGGAGGCGGCUGAAAGUUGGGAGCAGAAGAGGAAGAGGAGAGGUGACCUGUCGAUUGAUGAAAUGAUGGCUAGAACGAGAGAGAUGGUAGGGGAAGUGCCUGAGGAGGCCAACACUGAUCAUAAUGCCUACUGUGCCCGUGUUUACCGUGAAGAUUGGGACUGGCUCUUUGCCCCACUCUACGGUCCCUUCGACAAGACCACGUCUAUCCCACCCUCGUGUUGCAGCCACCAUCACCGUAACUCCUUGGUCAGGCCACAGCAGACUCUUCAGAUCUUCUCAAUCAAAGUCGGAAAGAUAAAGAAGCCCCUAAUGUGGCCAUUGCAUGUUUUUGGUUCAGUCGCUGUACGGGAUAAGGUGGAUCACAAUCGCAUUAUGGUCUUCCAUCGCCAAAGGGAGAACUGUCAAACCCUCACCAAGAAGGAUCGGUCUCUUAUGCUGACGGGUCCCACCCGUGGAGUUGUGGUGGAUGUACAUCCUACGUAUAUUGAAGUUGAUCUGAAAGUUAAGGGCACCACUGAAUCGGAGGACAUGGAUUUAAGCUAUUUAGUAGUUGCGUCUUCUCCUGGCGGCCCGUCUUAUCGUGCUGAAGCUAGCAAGCGUAGCACAUUGGAGUUGACAUAUGUUCGAAUGUACGACUCUGUGGAAGCCGCAAUCAGUGUGAAAUUGAAAAAAGAUGGGUCAUGGCCUGGUUGCCGAGGUUUAUUUACUGCCAGUACAGCUAGUUUAGAAGACAUGGAAAUCUUGUUGCUUGCUUUUAAAGGUGAUAGAUUGCCAGUUAAUGGUAAAGGAAGGAUUGAGUUUUCACGCCGUGUAGUCAGCGUCGAGCUUCGCGGUAAGCUAAUAUUUUCUGCGAAGGCACUGCAAGGUAGUGAUGAGAAAGGUGUGAGAAGAGUUCGUAAGACUUUUACUCCCAAAAGAGCUGGUAAAAGCAAGGAGAAUAUUAAGAUUGGUUCCUGUGAGAUGGAGGUAACUGUGACAUGGUCCCUUCUUCCGAGUUGCAAGUUUGACUAUGAUAAUUCUUUGUAA